rnacentral:rRNA from 1 species
CGGGGGCUGCAGUGGGGAAUAUUGGGCAAUGGGCGCAAGCCUGACCCAGCCAUGCCGCGUGAGUGAUGAAGGCCUUCGGGUCGUAAAGCUCUGUGGGGAGGGAAGCGGUACCUCCUUAGCAAGCACCGGCUAACUCCGUGCCAGCAGCCGCGGUAAUACGGAGGGUGCAAACGUUGCUCGGAAUCAUUGGGCGUAAAGCGCACGUAGGCGGCCUGAUAAGUCGGAUGUGAAAGCCCUGGGCUCAGCCCAGGAAGUGCAUUCGAAACUGUCAGGCUUGAAUGUGGAAGAGGGUCGCGGAAUUCCCGGUGUAGAGGUGAAAUUCGUAGAUAUCGGGAGGAACACCAGUGGCGAAGGCGGCGACCUGGCCACAUUGACGCUGAGGUGCGAAAGCGUGGGGAGCAAACAGGAUUAGAUACCCUUGUAGUC